UUUUUUUUUUUUUUUUUGGUCCUAUCAUUGUUUCAUUUGCUUCUUCACCUCUCUCUGGUCCCCUCUGCACACCAUUGCCUCUUUUUCCCUGUCUUCCAGUUGAAUCCAUCCCUCUUUGGUCCUGUAACUAUUGGAACAGUAGCAUGCCAGACAGAAAGCAAGAAAUUAAAAACGGCAGUUUUUCUAUCUUAUUGUUAUGUUGCAUCAUGUCAUGCCACAAAAGAACGAAAAAGAAACAGACAAGAAAAUGACAACACAGGUGGCAGAAUUAUUUUUCUCUUUACUUUUGAAAAGAAAACACAGCAGAAAGUCAUAUUAUUAUAGGAAGGAUGAGUGAUUUAUUAAAAAGCUUGUUAUCAACACAAGACAGCCUGUUUCUUGUGUGCUACAUAUUCUGCACAGCUGAAGUGUGAACAAAAUUGGUAGGGCCAAUUAUAGCAAAAGUCUGAUACGCACAGACAGUAGAAACAUCUCCUGAUGAAAGCAGCGCUGGUGGAAAGUUUUCAUGCCUUUAGACCUUCUCUCAUCAGAAGUGGCACCAGAGAUCACAAAUGAAAGGUUGUAACACUGUAUUAAUAUUUUUCAUGUUACUAAUGGAACAUAUUGGGCAGCACCCUGUUCUACCACCUAGACAGGCAAUUACCCUGGCUUCAGUCUAAGUAAAUACCUUUUCUGACUGCAUAACAACAGUAGCAAAUCUUGUCACUUUUGAGGCAGUAGCGGUUGUACUUCCUUUGCUGGCUAUGAGGUAUGUACUCGUAAUGCUGAAAAUUAUUUUCUGUGCGAAUCCUUUCGAAUCCUUUCUGUUCAGUAUGUUGUUUAUUUCAGCUAUUUUUUUUUUUUUAACUAACAUAAGAAGUCAAAUCUUAUUUGGCUUAUCAGUCUAUCAACAAACACAGAUGUUCCCUACAGCUUACUGAAAGCUCAACAGACCUUGAAUUUAGCAUCCUUCCCAAUAUGUCAGGAGUUGGCCUAUUGCCCUUCCUCAGUUCCUUGUAGGAAGACAAUACUGUUUAUCAUCCCACACUAUUAACACAUUUGGUCCUCAAAGGCUUGUCAAGAACUAUGAUUCCCAGGCAGAAUAACUUAUCUUCUUUUCAUCAUAAGACCCCCUCUACUCAACAGUAUCUUUCAACUUUUUUUUUUUUCUUGGAUGAUAUAAGUGAUGAAUACUAAACUUAGGGCAUUUGUUCUCUCAGUUUUGCUUAACUUUGAUCUCACAUCACCUGCUUGAAGAUGGAAAAAGAAUCUGUAUACCUGAAGUGUUUGUCCAUUUCUUUAUGUUCCACUACUCGGUCUAACAGAAUUUUAUCUCAAAACUAAUUAGAAGUUACAAUCUGUCUAUUCCACAAACACAAAGACCCUGAAUCUUAUUCAGGCUUUUCUCCCAUAUAACUAGCAACAGGACUAGACGGAAUGGCCUCAAAAAGUGCCAGGGGAGAGUCAAGUUGGACAUUAGAAAAUACUUCUUCUCCAAGAGAGUGGCCAGGCAGUGAAAUGGGCUGCCCAGGAAGGUGAUGGAGCCACUGACGCUGAAGGAAUUCAUUAAACGUUUGGAUGUUGUACUGAGGGACGUGGUUUAGUGGGAACUAUUGGUGAUAGGCAGAUGGUUGUACUGGGUGACCUUGGAGGCCUUUUCCAACCUUGGAGAUUCUAUGUUUCUAUGUCUUCACUACAUUUUCCAAGCCUCUUUAGAAGAUAAUGUUUGAUAAAAGGUGUUGAACUAAACGAUCUUAAAUAUCCCUUCCAGCCAUUGUGUAAAAGUGUUGGAUAUACCACAGGUAGUUUAUUCAUGUACAGAACAGCGGUUUGAUAUAUAUUACUCCAGAACUGAAAUCAAUGUUAGUAGCUGGAUAAUUCAGAGCCUUUUGCUCAUGAUUGCAUUCAACUGUUAAAACUAAGCAUUUUCAAGAAGUAAGAUUGGGAAAUGAGAGACGUUUACUUUCACAUAAAUACUGAGAAACAUGCACUUAUGAAGAAAAAAAAUCUUGCUAUUUAAAAAUUCCAUAGUUAUUACUUGAUAUAAAGAAAUGUCAUGUAUUUUUAUUUUCUUUGGCAAUGAUCUAAUGGUCUCAUUGGCCCAAUGAGUAGACAAGACAAACAUUAUUGUUAAGGCUUGUCUGAGCAGCUGGAAAUAGUCCAUGUAACCAAAGAAAACAAUAAAAUUCUUUACAGUGAAAAAGAAUGGCAGUAUUUUGGUCAUUACUGAUAACAUCCAAUUAUUGGGAAACAAAUCUUAUUGUGUAACUAUGACAUGAUACCCCUGUUAAAUAUCACCAGAUUCUACUAGACAAUGAAGCUAACUUGUCACAAUCAAACAUGUAGUCAUAUUCCAUCUAUCCAGAGGCCAUAAACUGAUAGGUGAUCUUGGUUGAUAGAUGGUCAAUUGAUUGCAAUACAAAAGAAUUCACUUGCUUUUCUUGGCUGCUCAGUAUUUCCUGAGGGCUAUUGUCAUUUCUCAGCCUCCCACUCCUUUGUCUCUGGCUCUGUCUUCUAACCUUCUAAUAUUUAUUUUGUUUCCUGCCUACUCAAACCUGGCCCAAUGUCCAUUCCAACUGCAACUCCAUAGGGUCCAUAAUAUUUACUAGUCACGGAACACUAGCCUUGAAAACAACAGAAUUAGAGAAGAUUCAUAGGUCUGGGUGAAUUCAAACCUGCUGAACAAUUACAGGCAAUAGUAAGAGCCAUCAAGGUUGUCUAGCUCAAAAUGAACAAAACCCACCUGAAACAUCUCAAACAACAGGGCACAGAAAGGUUAGAAGAGCAGAAUUUUACAGAAGCAGUUUAUGAAUGAAUUUUCAGGCAUGAAAACUGUUUUGCUGAUGCCUAAGUAAUAAAAGUGUGUUACUCGUAGGAAAUCUAUGAUGUGGUCACCUGCUCGAUUUAACCCUUAUUUUAUUUAUCUUAUCAUACAGAGAGGAGAGGGAAAUCAAAAUCACAACAAGAGUUUUAUUAAAUCAAGUAUGUGGAAAAUAGAAAAAAGCAGAGGCCAUUUGGGAAUAGAAGAAAUCCAAGCCUGAACUAUUCCAAUACUCUCCAAAAUGAAGCUGGAGCAAGGAAUCACAACUAUAUCAUCAUCUUUAUUCAUCUAUCAUUAUACCACCUCAAGGUUCUCCACAAGAUCAACUGUGAACUAUAGCUUAUUGCAAAUCUUUAUUCUUCUGAUACUUGUGACAUGAUGAAAUAGUGCACCCAAAGCAAUCUUUACAGCACACCCAUAUAUUGAUGAGGAAAUUAAAAAAAAAAAAAAAAAAAAAAGGAUUUUACUUAAGAGACUAUCAAGAACUAUUCUGGGUGAAUGUUCUUAUGUGGUCACUGGAGAUAUAGUUAAUUAAAAAAAAUCAGAACGCAAAUCAAGAUCAUUUUAGCUUUGCAAGUAACUUUUAAAAACAUGUCCAAAAGCAAGUGUAACUGUGAAGCUGGAACUCCUCACAAACCACAAAAAAAAAAAAAAAAAAAAAAAAA
rnacentral:lncRNA from 1 species